UCGGGAAUUUUGGGCAAUGGGCGAAAGCCUGACCCAGCAACGCCGCGUGAAGGAUGAAGUAUUUCGGUAUGUAAACUUCGAAAGAAUAGGAAGAAUAAAUGACGGUACUAUUUAUAAGCUCCGGCUAACUACGUGCCAGCAGCCGCGGUAAUACGUAGGGAGCAAGCGUUGUUCGGAUUUACUGGGCGUAAAGCGUACGUAGGCGGUGACUCAAGUCAGAGGUGAAAGCCUGGAGCUCAACUCCAGAACUGCCUUUGAAACUAGGUCGCUAGAAUCACGGAGAGGUGAGUGGAAUUCCGAGUGUAGAGGUGAAAUUCGUAGAUAUUCGGAAGAACACCAGUGGCGAAGGCGGCUCACUGGACGUGUAUUGACGCUGAGGUACGAAAGCGUGGGGAGCAAACAGGAUUAGAUACCCCCGUAGUCCCUGAGCGGGCUGGCAAGGCGCAU
rnacentral:rRNA from 1 species